rnacentral:rRNA from 1 species
UACGUAGGGUGCGAGCGUUAAUCGGAUUUACUGGGCGUAAAGCGUGCGCAGGCGGCCCGUUAAGACAGGUGUGAAAUCCCUGGGCUCAACCUAGGAAUUGCGCUUGUGACUGGCGGGCUCGAGUACGGUAGAGGGGGGUGGAAUUCCUGGUGUAGCAGUGAAAUGCGUAGAGAUCAGGAGGAACACCGAUGGCGAAGGCAGCCCCCUGGGCCUGUACUGACGCACAUGCACGAAAGCGUGGGGAGCAAACAGG